rnacentral:lncRNA from 1 species
AAAUGUUUUGUUGUGUUUUUAAAAAAAAGUAUGAGGUGUAUCCGGAUAGACAAACCUAGUAGUCAUACAUCAACAACAAUAAAUAUGUAAAUACCAACAAUGUUCCUAUUAAGAAAAACAAUUGAAAAAUAUAAAAAAAAAUGAUUAAAAUAAAAUUAUAAAAAUAUGAAAAUACAACUAAAAAUAAAAUAAAAUAAAAUAAAGAGUCUACAAU